ACAAAUUGCGCUUGCUCCCAUUCGUGUUGCUGACACUUUACCCUCUCCACUGAUAGCAGUGUUAAGAAUGAAUUCUCAAGCCAUAACACAGUACUGUAAAGUUCACAGGGCUUCGAGGGAGGCAGCGCCCAGGCCAGCACAGUGCUGCAUAGCCUGUCUGCAGUCACCAUGGGGCAGCAGCCGUUCAUUGUGCUUAGCCACAUGAGAAUGUGCCAGGAGAGGCAUCGAGGCCACCUAGCAGGCCUCUCUCCCUGAAGCGUACUGUGUAACUCCUUGUGGACAGCAAACCUGUCCCUGUACAGUAGUAGGUUAGGUCUCUCACUAUAGCUGGUGCACAAGUCCACUAAGAUAAACAAUAUGUGAAGACAUGUUUUACAGUGAAGUAUAUCCUGCCUUCCCACAGGCCUGUGCGUGAUCGAGUCUCCUCUCAGCUACCUUUCCAUGUUAGACAAUGUGAAGACAGCCACAGCGCCCGCCCUUCCCUGCGACAUUAGUACCAUUGCACAAACUGUGAAGACGUUUUAUACUUUUGCUAACACUUGUGGUUUUCAAUCUUUGUUUGUUCUCAUCAGUACUCUGCCCUCUUGUUUCUACUAAAGCUGUAAAUACAUUUAGAAACCAUUUGUAAAUACAGUUACACAGAUGAGUUCAUCUUCCUGGUCAGUGGGAAAGCCUCCCCGAUCAAUCGGCUCUGCCGUGGCAGGUUUCUCUCUCCUGCCUCCGUGUGUGUGUGUGUGUGUGUCUGUGUGUGUGUCUGUGUGUGUGUCUGUGUGUGUGUCUGUGUGUGUGUCUGUGUCUGUGUCUGUGUCUGUGUCUGUGUCUGUGUGUGUUUUAACAGCCCGGAUUCUAGGGAGAAUCCGCAAGAACACAAAGCAAGGGCUAGGGGACAUGUCCGUGUGAACAGACUCUGCCUCGGGCUGCUGUGUUUCCCUUUAAGCUUCCCACUUGUUACUGCUCUGUUUUUGUAGUUACCAUUGUUCUUAGAUUCUAUAAUGGUUUCCUGUGAAGCCUCCACUGAAAGGGACUCAAAUAUGCAACAUCUAAACUAUUUUCCAAGGGCUCAUGCCCCUUGAAUGGUGCUUCUAGCCUGGUCAGGGUUAUUUAUUAAAUUUUAUAUAUGAAAGUACUGGGGAAUUAUGUAAACUCUUUAUACGAGACUAUCUAGUUCUUACAUCAUAGAUUUCAUAUACUCAGUGCAGCUGAACUGAACGUUCAGAGAAGUCAUUCACUUUGUUCCAGAUUUGUAAUGGUCGUCACACACAUCGUCUUCAGUAAGUGCCAGAGUUCCCACUGUUCCUGCCAGGGCUUGCUAACUCCAGGUGCCCCCCUGGGUCUGGCACAGACAGGGCUAUUGCUGCUCCUGCUUAGCUCCUGGAGCAAGCUUUGCUCACUGCCCUGAGUGGCAGAUUGAGCAUACAAAUCUCUCACUGCCCUUCAGUGACAAGCAUGCUGUGAAUGCGGCCUCAGGACUUGGAGAACAAGCUCCAGGCUGCUGCCCUGACUAGAGCAAGAGGUAAACUCACCUGCCUCCCCUGAGAACGACCAUUUUCCUAAUGUGAAACCACCUCUUACCACUUUAGCAGUAGGGCUAACAGUCUUCUGUUACAAAUGGCUGAGCAAUGUGAAUGACUUCACAUGGUGUCAUUAUCUUGCAAUAUAAACUGGUAACCUCAACGCCACACUUCAUCACCACGUGAAGUAAAUGAAGCUAGCUAAGCGGAUGCUGUAUCAACUAGUAACUUGCCAUUAAGGUUAUUUUAUAGCAUGAAUUGAAGACUAUUUAUUCAAAUGAUAUUUUACUCAUAUUCAUUUUGCUUUAGGUUUGUGACAUGAAUAUUUCAGUGCUGCUUCAUUUCGUUCUGAAUUCUUGUUUCUUGCUUGUAAAUGGCUUUUUUAUGGUAAUAAAUUCAAUGGAGAUUGCUGUUUGUAAAUAAAAAUGCUGCUAGAGCAA
rnacentral:lncRNA from 1 species